rnacentral:rRNA from 1 species
UACGAAGGGUGCAAGCGUUGUUCGGAAUUAUUGGGCGUAAAGGGUUCGUAGGCGGGUAAUUCAGUCAAUUGUGAAAUGCUAGGGCUUAACCUUAGAGCUGCGAUUGAUACUAGUUAUCUUGAGUUUCAGAGAGGGUGGUGGAAUUGCUGGUGUAGGAGUGACAUCCGUAGAGAUCAGCAGGAACACCGGAGGCGAAGGCGGCCACCUGGCUGAGGACUGACGCUGAGGAACGAAAGCGUGGGGAGCAAACAGG